UGCUUUUCUUCAGAAGUUGUGUAAGCCU
rnacentral:piRNA from 1 species